AUUGAACGCUGGCGGCAGGCCUAACACAUGCAAGUCGGGCGAACGAGGCUUCGGCCAAGUGAGCGGCGAACGGGUGAGUAACACGUAGGAAUCUGCCUGGUAGUGGGGGACAACGUCUCGAAAGGGACGCUAAUACCGCAUACGCCCUACGGGGCAAAGCAGGGGCUCUUCGGACCUUGCGCUAUCAGAUGAGCCUGCGUCGGAUUGGCUAGUUGGUGGGGUAAAGGCCUACCAAGGCGACGAUCCGUAACUGGUCUGAGAGGAUGAUCAGUCACACCGGAACUGAGACACGGUCCGGACUCCUACGGGAGGCAGCAGUGGGGAAUAUUGGACAAUGGGGGCAACCCUGAUCCAGCCAUGCCGCGUGUGUGAAGAAGGCCUUCGGGUUGUAAAGCACUUUAGGUCGGGAGGAAGGUUCGCUGGCUAAUAUCCAGCGGAAUUGACGUUACCGACAGAAUAAGCACCGGCUAACUCCGUGCCAGCAGCCGCGGUAAAAC
rnacentral:rRNA from 1 species